rnacentral:rRNA from 1 species
CCUACGGGAGGCAGCAGUGAGGAAUAUUGGUCAAUGGGCGGAAGCCUGAACCAGCCAAGUCGCGUGAGGGAUUAAGGCCCUGCGGGUCGUAAACCUCUUUUGCCGGGGAGCAGAGGUCCGGACGUGUCCGGGCCGGGAGAGUACCCGGAGAAAAAGCAUCGGCUAACUCCGUGCCAGCAGCCGCGGUAAUACGGAGGAUGCGAGCGUUAUCCGGAUUUAUUGGGUUUAAAGGGUGCGCAGGCGGCGAGUUAAGUCAGCGGUAAAAUUUCGGGGCUCAACCCCGACAAGCCGUUGAAACUGGCUUGCUAGAGUGGGCGAGAAGUAUGCGGAAUGCGUGGUGUAGCGGUGAAAUGCAUAGAUAUCACGCAGAACUCCGAUUGCGAAGGCAGUAUACCGGCGCCCAACUGACGCUCAGGCACGAAAGCGUGGGUAUCGAACAGGAUUAGAUACCCUUGUAGUC